GUUUUUCAAAGCUCUUUAUUCCUCUUUGUAAUUGGCCGGAUAAGUUAAGAUUACAUGACUCCAUGGUGGACAGGAUGGCGUCUUGCAGCACAACCCUGGCUUAGGAUCAUUUAAUGUACAUACACCUGGAAGGUUCCAUGUAUAACAUCUGAAAAUAUAAUAUUAUCGAUUAUCAAAUUGAAAAAUUUACCCUUGCAAUGGGAUGCUCAAUUAUAUUGGAUACUUUCCUAAAUACAAAUUGAAACACCGUCUGUCUUUAACAAUG
rnacentral:lncRNA from 1 species